CGCCGCCGCGAAGAGCCAGACGCCUCGCGCCGCCCGCAGAGUAGGGGAUCCUGCUCGCUGCCUCCCCUGGAAACCUACCCAAGCGAUGGAGCAUGCGCAGGCAGCUCCUCCGCGGGCGAGCCCUCCGUGUGGUCCAUGGGGAGCGCUCCGGUUAUCCAGGUUUUGGGACGCGCCUUGAGGAACGGUCUUGAGCAGUGUGAAGAAGAAGAGGUGAGAACGACCCCCGGACCGACCAAAGCCCGCGCGCGCUUGAUCCCGCGUCCAGCACCUACGUCCCGCGGCCGUCGCCACCAUGCCCAAGAGAAAGGCUGAAGGGAAUGCUAAAGGAGAUAAAGCCAAGGUGAAGGACGAACCACAGAGAAGAUCCGCGAGGUUGUCUGCUAAACCUGCUCCUCCAAAGCCAGAGCCCAAGCCUAAAAAGGCCCCUGCAAAGAAGAGAGAGAAGGUACCCAAAGGGAAAAAGGGAAAAGCUGAUGCUGGCAAGGAGGGGAAUAACCCUGCAGAAAACGGAGAUGCCAAAACAGACCAGGCACAGAAAGCUGAAGGUGCUGGAGAUGCCAAGUGAAGUGUGUGCAUUUUUGAUAACUGUGUAUUUCUGGUGACUGUACAGUUUGAAAUACUAUUUUUUAUCAAGUUUUAUAAAAAUGCAGAAUUUUGUUUUACUUUUUUUUUUUUUUUUUUUUUUUUUUUUAAAGCUAUGUUGUUAGCACA